rnacentral:lncRNA from 1 species
AGAGGGAGGAAGGGAGAGCAUGAUGAAGGAACAAGGUGCAAUGAUUCUCUGCAUGAAUGGAGAGACUGGCUUUAAUUUGGACAGAGUGUCUCUCUGCAGUGAGAGGAAGGAAGGCUGAAGGUGUGGGUGCAGAUAUGUGUUAACAGGAGGUGGGGUUGCAGCGUCCGAGAAAGUUAUCUUCUGCGCAGAAGGAUGAAGGAGGAAGAGUUGGAGUCUGAGGAUGGAGGCUCAGCCAGGAGACGGCCACACCUGAGGCAUAUGGAAGUCCCAGGCUAGGGGUUGAAUCGGAGCUGCAGCUGCCACCCUAUACCACAGCCGCAGCAACACCAGAUCAGGGCUGCAUCUGCAACCUAUGCAGCAACUUGUGGCACCAAGGGAUCCUUAACCCACUGAGCAAGGCCAGGGCUUGAACCUGUGUCCUCAUGGAUCCUAGUUGGGUUCAUUACUACUGAGCCAUGAUGGGAACUCCCAGGAACAAACUGUUAAAGAGUUUAGUCCUUUUCUAAGAGUCCGUGUUUUUAUUGUGAAAGCAGAGAACUGGAGACAUGUUGAGUCCCUAGGGGCCAUAGUGCCCUGUUCUAAGGUAACUCAUUCUUUGUAAGAGUUCCUUCUACUGCCUCAGUUGGUCACCUCUGCUUGAACAUCCUUGGUCAUAAGUUGGUAACUGUUUUGAGCAAUUGCUUUCAGAGUUAGGAAUAUUUUUAUUAUCAUCUUCCUAUUUCUGCCUACUGGAAUUCUCCAACAUUGGUCUCACUUUGCCCCCCCUUUUUUUCUAUUGCACUUAAAAUUUUAAACUUAGUAACAAAAUAUUGUUCAACAUACCACCUGCUCUUCUUUUAAUGUCUACAGAAUCUCUAAUAAUGUAGGAUCUGGUGAUGCUCCCAUUCCAUUCCUAAUAUGGAUAAUUUGUGUCUCCUCUCUUUAUUUCUUUUUUUUAAUUUUCAAAAGUUUAUUGAACUAUAGUUGAUUUAUAAUAUUGUGUUAAUUUCUGCUAUACCAUAGAGUGAUUCAGCUAUGCAUAUAUACAUAUCCUUUCUUUUUCAGAUUCUUUUCCCAUAUAAGUAAUCACAGAAUACUGGGUAGGGUUCCCUGUGCUAUAUAGCAGGUCCCCAUUGACCAUCCAUUCCAUAUACCAUAGUGUGCACAUGUCCUUUAGAACAACAUGGACCUCUUGUCCUCCUGCUCCACCACCAUGCAGAUGGCAACUCCUGAUAUAUUGGAAGACCUCUGUGCUUGGGUUUCCUUCAUUGUCCUAAACUCCCACCCAGCUGAAUACAAGGUUGAGCCCAGGUAUCUUUCCAUCCUAGUGCCCCCUGCUUUCUUAUUUUCCUCUCAUAAUUCUUAUAUAUAGCAUCUAGUACAGAAUAAGAUUAGAAAGAUGUCUGAACAUUUUUUGCACUAAAAAAGGUAUAAAAUCUAAUUUGCCAUCUAUUAAAUUUUUUUUUCAGCUGUCAGUUCAUAAUGAGUUUAUGGUCAACUAAAACCUCAACAUACCUUUAAAUAUGUUUCAGAAGAAUGAUCUAACUUUGAAAUAUAGUGCUCUUACUAUCUUUCUGCUCUAAGACUUUCAUAGUUUUCCUUGUUGCAUCAGAGGGUAAUUGAGAAGUAUUUUCUUUUCUAAAAGAAAUUAAUAUUUUUUCUCUCUGACGUUGGUUUAUAAUUUUACUGGUGUAUGGAUAAAGGCUGUACAAUAUUGAUUCUUAGGAGGUUAUUGAGUCUUUGUGGCCCUUUACAAGGUUAAUUUUUCUAAAUUUUCAAAUUUUGCUUGAAGCAUAUUCAUAGUCUCUGUGGAUGUAAAGUUUAUUCUUGGAACUUAUUAUUUUUUUAAUCUAUAAGAAAAAUACUUUGUUUUUGGCCUGAUUUAUUGGUAGUUAUUAGUUAGUAAUCUCCAAUUACAAUCAUUGAUUUAUCCAUUUUCACUUGUAGUUCUGUAUUAUAUAGUAUUUUCAGCAGUACUGUUGUAUAGAGAUAGAUUCAUGAUGAUUAUACAUAACCAAUAUAUAUAAUAUCUCUAUUUUUUCCUCACAAUAACUUUUAUUUUAAAUGAUUUUGUUUGAUCCUGGCUUUCUUUUGGUCCCCAUAUGUGUCCAGUGACUUUUUUGUGCCUGUCAGCUUUUAGACUUCAUGUGUUUUCCUGUUUAAUAUUUCUGAAUCUUAAAAAAAAAUCCGUUAGACAGAGUUCCCUUCAAGGCUCAGCGGUUAACGAACCUGGCUAGAAUCCAUGAGGAUGCAGGUUUGAUCCCUGGCCUUGCUCAGUGGGUUAAGGAUCCAGGGUUGCCUUUAGUUUUGGUGCAGGCUGAAAACUUGCCUCAGAUCCGGAAUUGCUGUGGCUGUAGCUCUAAAUUCGACCCCUAGCCUGGGAACCUCUCUAUGCCUCAGGGUACGGCCCUGAAAAGCACACACACACACACACACACACACACACACACAUCAUCAGAGAGUCUUUUGAUUAGUGAUAACAGUCAUUUACAUUUCUUUUAGUUACUAUUAUACUGGGAUUUACUUCUGACAAUGCAUUCUGUUUUUAUCAAUUUGUUCAAAGUGUUUUUUUUUUCCUAUUAAUGUAGUGAAUUUUUUUCUGCUGGUUUGGAAAAUAGCUAUCCUUUGUUAAAAUUUAUGCUCAAGUCUCUUUUGAGAAUCCAUUUAUUCAUAAAUUUGAUUUCAGUAAGUUAAACACUAGAAAGCCCUCCAUGUAUACGUCAUCUAGAAUUUUAACUCUUAAUUGUUAGGAAUAUUUUUUCUUCUUAUUUUUUUUCUUAUAGUCAUUGUUUUUUAGAUAAUAAAUAUUUCCCUAAGUUAUUUACUCACCCUUAGUUCCCAUGUAUUUGCAGCAUACUCCUGGGGGUAGUUCUUUACUUGCUGGAGAACAUGUGAAGGGGUUUUUGUGUGAUAAGUUUUUGAAGCUCUUUGUGCCUGAUAAUAUUUUUAUUUCACACUCACAGUUAGAGAAAAUGUUGCCUGAAUAUAGAAUUCUGGCAUAAAUUACUUUCUUUCAGUGCUUUGAAUUUGUAACUCCAUUGUUUUCUUGACUAUAAUGCUGUCCUUGAGAAUUUCAGUGUCAAUCUGAUUCUAACUUCUUCAUAAGUGAUUGAAUUUUCCUCUCUGGAACCUAAGGAACUUUUUAUUUUUACCUGAUGUUCUCAAUUUUCACUAUAAUGUCUCUGUGUGGGUUUCUCCUAAUUUAUUCAGUUUGUCAUUAUGCAUUCUUUCAAUCAGAGGUCUUAGUUUUUCUUUAACUGAGAAUUCUGAGUCAUUGUUUUUUCGAAAGUGUCUUGCCCCAUAUUUAUUUAUUUUUCAUUUAUUUUCCUCAUAAUAUUCAUAUGCUAACUUAUGUUGACCUUUCUACCACUAUUCUCAAUAUUUUUAUAACUUUCAUUCUUCCCAGUUCUGUCUCUUGUUGAUGUUUUGGGGGACCUCUUUUUAACCAGAUUGUGGUGGAUACCGCACCCAUGACAUACGGAGUUUCCCAAAAUAGGUGUCAAAUCAGAGCUGUAACUGCUGGUCUAUGCCACAGCCACAGCAACGUGGAAUUUGAGCUGUGUUUUCUCCCUGCACCACAGUUCACGGCAACGCCGGAUUCUUAACCCACUGAGCAAGGCCAGGGAUCGAACCGCGUCCUCACGGAUACUAGUCAGGUUCAUUACGCUGCGCCACAAUGGGCACUACCCAUUUCUACUUUUUUAUUGUUGACUUUUUUGUUACGACAGUGUACUCAGACUCAGGGGAUGUAUUAUUAUUGAUUUAAGGCAGUCAUAAAGUCCAGUUGACAAUGCGUAUCUAGAAGGAAUCAGAUGACUCUGGGGAUAAGCACCAUGCUUAAGGCUUAGGACACUCUGCCAUUUUCCUGGGACCAAAGAAAGCAAGGUAGUGACCUUUUGCCAACACUGGCAAAUGCAGUCUUGGCGUUCAGAUGUGAUAUUUUUUAGAAAAAUUAAGGAAUAUAGUAUUUUUGUGCUAUGUCAUUGAGCACUUCAUUCUCACUAUUAACAUAUUCGAGUGCAUUAUUGUAUUUGUCUAAUUCUGGCUAAUAGGAUAUGAGGAAAUGUACUGAAUAAUUUGGGAAGUAUUUUUCUUUACUACUGAUGAUAAUACUAACAAUUGCUAGGACUAUUACCACUAUUACUGAUGAUUCGUGUUUUAAAGAAAUGCAAAGGAAAAACUCUUAGCCCUAGGGCCCAGCUCUUUCCUUGUCUCCUCUCCCACUCUGGUCCCUCGUUUACCUCACUGGCACAUUCUCUUCACAAUUCAUUAGCCCCUGUUACCAGAUGAUGUCUAGAUUCCACCCAGAAGAACCCCUUAGAUCUAAAUACUGCCAUUAGCUUGAUGUCAAGUUUCACCAUCGCCUAGUGAUUCCCGUUGAGAAAAGCCACCAUAGUGCUUUGGAUCACCUGAAUGAUUUGUCAAUAUUUUGGGUGUAUUGACCCAGCUACUAUCUUGACAUUGCUGAUUUUUUUGUGUGUGUUAAAUCCCCUCUUUGUCAUCUCGUUAUUGUCAUCUUAGGUAUUCCAAAGUUGAGACUGUGUACUCCUGGGAAUAGAAUUAUGAACUAGAAAUAGUGCCUGUCUUCCAGGAGGUAAUAGUCUGGGGUAGAGAAAGACAAGUAAACAGACAAUUACAAUACAAUCUCCAUUAUACAGUGAUAUUAAAAUACUACAGAGGUAAGGAUAUUAAGAGAUUUCUUUGCCUAGAGAAGUUAGGAAUUAACUAAUAGAAAUGUUGAACUAUGAACUGAGCCUUGAAAAUUCACAUUCAUUCCAGGAGAAAAAAAUAUGAUGUACAAAUGCAGAAAUGGGAUCGUGAAAGAGCAUGGUGUCAUUGGAGAACUUGACGAUCAGCUGCAUGCUUUCUGAGCACUUGUGUUAUGGGAAUAACAGUGUGAGAUACUGAGAAUUUGAAAGUAUAGAUGCACCCAAUCAACCAUGUUAUUUAUUUUCUGCUGCCUGUAAAAAAUGGGCUUCAUCCUUGGGGGAAAUGGAGAUAGGUAGACUGGUACUGCAUUUCUUGGAACUGACCUUUUUUUUCUUUCUUUCUUAGAAUAGGUAAACUGAUAUUUUAUAGUUUGAGGGUCUGGAACCUGAUUCCAUGAGUCAUUCAGUGCUGCUUGAUACCAUUAUUCUCAAACUGUGAAGGAAGCAACCGAGAAAAAAUAUUGUAUCUUUUACGCAGGGGGAAGAGAGAACACCUAAAACCAAUGAUAAAACAAUUCUUGGUAGAGAAGAAAGGAGAGGAACAAACAAAUAAUGUUGCAGGUUUUUGGGGAGAGAUAGGGAAUGGAAACUCAUUUGGAUGUAACACCUUAAAGUAAGACAUGUUCAAGUGGUAGAAACUAGCCAUUAAGUUGGUUGUUCCCAACUUCAUGAAGUCUCAACAAAGAUCAGAUGAAGGGGGAAAAAGUGGGGACCCAACUGUGAGGGGAAGUGAUUCAUUGGCAUUGUGUAACAGAAUCAACAGUGACAUCAAGAGUGUCCACUGCACUCUUAAGACUCCACAUGAUCUGCCAUUUUCCUGGACCAAAUGAUGCAAGGAAGAGAGGAGCCAGUCAGGCAGUCAAUGCCCUUCUUGCCAACAGUGGCAAAUAAAGUCUUGGAGCCCAGGUUAGAUGUGAUUGAUUUCAGAAAAUGAAGAAAUGUCUUUCUUUUUUUUCGUAGCUUGUGCCUCACUGAGCACUUUGUCCCUAUUAUCAACAUAUCUGAGAGCAUUAUUUAAUUUCACUUUAAUUUAUUCUUCUUUACAAAGUUGUGGGCACCUUGACGAUAGGCUUUGAAUCUUAGUUGCAUUUCUUACUUCAGCAGCUCCCAUCAUGCUGCACUUAAAACAGGUUACUAAUAGCUGUGUGCUGAUUGAACUCAUGAAAUAAGUUUUAGGAAUUCAGAGAGGUUGAUAGCACUGUCUCCUGUAGAUCUUACCAGACUAAAUGUGUAACUUGCAUAUACACUUUUCACAGGACUAAAGAUCUUUGGGCUUUGGAUUCACUGUGAUUUAGUCCUUCCUAAGAUGCAGUAACGCACACUUAAUUGUAAUGACAAUUUUCUUUAGUUUCUCUGACACCAAGGUUACUGUCAACAUAGAGAAUGAAAGACAUGGCAUGACCUUAUUAAGAACGUUAAUGUCAUAAACAAUACACAGGGGAGGAUUGCAUUUUUUUUUUUACUGAAGCCCCGUCUUUAUAUAUAUGUAUACUUGUUAAGGACUCACAUUUGUCUCUGUGUAAGUUUAAAGACUAUGACCCCUUGCCUAUUAAAAAGGUAUUUUUCUCCUUUGAUUUAAUAUUUCAUCUCCUAAUAUUACAUCUAAAUAUGGCAGGGGGGUUUGGUUCACAUUUUUCACGUGUAUAGGCCGACAACAUUUUACUAUGGAAUGUCACAUGAAAGGUGCACAUCAUCCAUUAAUCAUGUAACCUCCAAUUAUCAUCCCUGGGUAGCAAUUAUAUUUUAGUUUUCCGAAUGCUUUUUAAGAAUUGGCACAAUGUCUUUGGCAAGAUGAAACUGUUAGGUAGAAAACAAAACAAAAGUGCAAAUGGGCUGCUUUUAGAGUAUGGAAUUCAAAGUCACUUGAUUAGGAUUUAAGAAGUCGUGGUCCUUUUUGCUAGCUGAUUGACUGGACACAUUAUUUGUUUCUUCUUUUGUCACAUGGACAUGAUAACUGUGCUCAUCUUACUGGAUUAUUAUCAGGUUCAAAUGAAAUCAUAUGUGUGAAGGCACCUAUUGCUAUUUAAAAAAAUCUAUCUGCCUCUCUUCUCAUUAUUGGAAGUAUACUGUUUUAAGUAAUAAUUCAAAGUGUGGAGGGGGGGCAGGGUCAAUAAAGGCA